UUGGAGGGCAAGUCUGGUGCCAGCAGCCGCGGUAAUUCCAGCUCCAAUAGCGUAUAUUAAAGUUGUUGCAGUUAAAAAGCUCGUAGUUGAAUUUCGGGAUUGGCGUGUCGGUCGUGCCUUACGGGGUAUGAACUGGCGUCGUCGAUUUCUCACCUUCUGGAGAAUCACGAUGCCCUUAAUUGGGUGUCGUGUGGAACCAGGACCUUUACCUUGAAAAAAUUAGAGUGUUUAAAGCAGGCAUUUUGCUCGAAUACAUUAGCAUGGAAUAAUAAAAUAGGACGGCUUGGUUCUAUUUUGUUGGUUUCUAGGAUCACCGUAAUGAUUAAUAGGGAUAGUUAGGGGCAUUAGUAUUCAAUUGUCAGAGGUGAAAUUCUUGGAUUUAUUGAGGACUAACUACUGCGAAAGCAUUUGCCAAGGAUGUUUUCAUUAAUCAAGAACGAAAGUUAGGGGAUCGAAGACAAUCAGAUACCGUCGUAGUCUUAACCAUAAACUAUGCCGACUAGGAAUCAGACGAUGUUAAUUUUUUAAUGACUCGUUUGGCACCUUACGGGAAAC
rnacentral:rRNA from 1 species